rnacentral:rRNA from 1 species
AGUCGAGCGAUUCUCUUCGGAGAAGAGCGGCGGACGGGUGAGUAGCGCGUGGGUAACCUGCCCUGUACACACGGAUAACAUACCGAAAGGUAUGCUAAUACGGGAUAACAUAAGAAAUUCGCAUGUUUUUCUUAUCAAAGCUCCGGCGGUACAGGAUGGACCCGCGUCUGAUUAGCUAGUUGGUGAGGUAAUGGCUCACCAAGGCGACGAUCAGUAUCCGACCUGAGAGGGUGAUCGGCCACAUUGGAACUGAGACACGGUCCAAACUCCUACGGGAGGCAGCAGUGGGGAAUAUUGCACAAUGGGCGAAAGCCUGAUGCAGCAACGCCGCGUGAGCGAUGAAGGCCUUCGGGUCGUAAAGCUCUGUCCUCAAGGAAGAUAAUGACGGUACUUGAGGAGGAAGCCCCGGCUAACUACGUGCCAGCAGCCGCGGUAAUACGUAGGGGGCUAGCGUUAUCCGGAUUUACUGGGCGUAAAGGGUGCGUAGGCGGUCUUUUAAGUCAGGAGUGAAAGGCUACGGCUCAACCGUAGUAAGCUCUUGAAACUGGAGGACUUGAGUGCAGGAGAGGAGAGUGGAAUUCCUAGUGUAGCGGUGAAAUGCGUAGAUAUUAGGAGGAACACCAGUAGCGAAGGCGGCUCUCUGGACUGUAACUGACGCUGAGGCACGAAAGCGUGGGGAGCAAACAGGAUUAGAUACCCUGGUAGUCCACGCCGUAAACGAUGAGUACUAGCUGUCGGAGGUUACCCCCUUCGGUGGCGCAGCUAACGCA